CUACUGUUCCUAAGGAGCUCUAGUGUUCUUUUUUAGCCCUGUCCCUGAUUUACUUGGGGGCCCCAUGAAGGUCUCUCACUAGAUGGAAAGCUGUAGUUUGAAAUUUUGAGAGUAACAAAUACAAGGUCUCAGAAUUUCACAGUACCUCCUCAACCUAGCAUAAUUGUUAAGGGAUUCCUAAUAAUUGUUGAGCACUGCUGUACUUGGAGAACUUUAUUGGAAGUAGGACUUUGGAGUAGCCAGGACCACUAUGACUGCUGUGGCUGGGAGUGAGGGACAGCAUUGACAAUAGAAACACAUUCUAAGGGGGUGCAUCUUGCCUCUUCUGCCAGAAUUUGGACAUGGACGCUGGACCUUUCACUACCAUUUUCCUGGAAAAGGUUUACUUGAAUCUGACACUCAUGUUAUAUUCUGAAGACUUGAUUUCUGAUUUUAUGUAUUGAAGAUCCACUUUGCUGGAGAUGAAACUGGAAAAGAAACUGGCAGCCAGCAACAGGGAAUGAGUCUCCUUCUUCAUCUACCAGUUGUCAGCAGACAAGUAGCACUGUUUUUCUGUUCAACAUGGUAUAUUUUAAAAUGGAAAAGUGAUGGAAUAACUAUCUUUCCCUACAUUUCAUUUCUUUUACACUUGAAAGUCACAAGUUUUGCUUUUGCAUGGGAAAAAUGAUUUUUUGGUAAGGAAAAUGGGAGAGCAGUGUAUGUGAAUAAUUCUGGAUAUAUGGACAAAGGGAGCAUUCACUACUCUGUGUUUUCAAUUUCUUUAUCAGGAUCCAUCUUUUGUGUUCAACUGACUAUUACUAUCACUUUCAUCUCACUUCAAUCAUACUUGUGUUGAUUUGAUCCUUAUUUAUGGAGUGUUGUGUUUCCUCAAAGGAGAGCCCUUGAUCAGAAAUAGAGAUUUUAUAAUCAUCUAGUAAUUUGUUAUGUUGAGUUGGCAAAUUCAAUUGGCCUAAUUUAAGGUUGGGCAAGACACUUCAAGUGGGUGCCAGUGAGUGAAAGGCAACUUGGAAGUCUUAGAGCUAUUAGCUGGUUAAUACUUUCAAUGUUUAAGGAUCGCUUGAGUGGUGUAGGUGUCAAGAAAAUGUAACUGCUUCGAGGGAUAACUAACUCCCUUUAGUAACUUGCUUUCCAGUUUAGCUUUAAACAGCUCUUUGAGUGUUCCUUUGCAAGCAAGCAAACUCUCCCUUCAAUUGCUGGAAAUUUAAAAUGGGCUGAAGUCACAGAGUGCACAGAAGAAACAGAUCAAGUUGCAACUCCCUAAUCAAAUUUAAGCAAGUUUUUUGGGAAUAUGCAUAAUCAGAAAGCAAUAGUAUAUAGGGGAGAUAAAAGCAGUAAUAGAGAGGCACAGCAAAAGUGGGGGGAUUAUAAUUAAUUUUUGUAUUGAUCACAGUUGCAACUUGGAAUUAUUUUAUGUAAUUUAAUUCAAGGUAUUUAGCAUCUUUAAAAGAAUAAACAUCUCUGUUUUACCAUGGGUUUUUUAUGUAGUCUUAAAAGAUCUGAAUCUCUAUUUGGGCUUGUUCAAAGGCAGUGCAUUUACUAGACACUGACUUCACCAGCAACAUAGAGUCUACAGCCCUGUGGGUGUGUGGGGUACUGCUUUGGUGACUGUCAGGAAUGAGGCAGAAAAACAAGUCCUACAAAGCAGUCUCCCCAUGUUAAAUGUCUGACUAGGCCCGCUCUUCAAAUAGGAAAAGCGUGGGGAUUCAGAAGCUGAAGAAGGUUAGGAAUCACCCUCUUUAAGUCCAAUCAAUGUUAGUGUUGGGGAAGGUGGAAGAGUGCAUGUAUACAGUGAAAACCAACAGUGCCACCUUGUGUGGGUGGGACAGGAGAGUUCGUCCACGAGGAGGCGAAUGUCCCCCGGUGUGUCCCCAGCUCCUCCACCUCGGGACUGGGAAAAGCCUCUGGCCAGCUAGGGAGAGGGCAAAGGGAAGGAUGAGGUCCCUUUAGACCUGCAGGAGGGAGGUGUUUGCUGCCCCACUUGAAAGGCAGAGGUGGUGGGUAUGUUAGGGGCAUAGCCUGACAGGGGAAGAAGGACCUACAUAAAAGCAGGUUGCUCAGUUUUUGCUUUUGUAACUUCAGCAGCUAAAGUAACGUCUGGGGGAAGAGAGGGUAAUGUGAAUUGUUUCCAUAUAGGAACGGUAGAAGUGCUACUAAAAGUCUGGUGUUGUGCAGCCUUUCAGGGGUAAAAAAGAGAUGAUUAAGAUUUAGACUCAAGCUGUGGUCAAGGGUUGCAUAACACUGAAAAAAAAUUUAUGAGACUUAGGGAGAUGAAAGCCUUCCAUGGGGGACAAAGAAGUUAGGUCCCUGCAGAUCAAGUGGAGCAGGUCUCCUGUGUGACUGAUGCCACGUUGUUUCUCAGCCUGGAAAGAUAAUGCUUAAAUGCAAAGAGAGCCUUUGGGGAAAAUAGUAUUUGCUUUACUCUAGGUCCACGAUAAGUAUGCAAAAGAGGGUGCCAGUUGCAGAGUAGGGUUAAUUUUAUUUUUUUUAGCACAAAGUAAAGCAGUGUAGGUUGGGUGUAGCCUUAGGCAAUGCAGGCUGGUCUGGAAAUACUUGUGUCUGUGCAAAAAGGAAUCUUCAAAUAAGGUAUGAAAGUGAAAAUAUUUACAAAGCAAAGAUAUUGCUAAAGGAACCCUUCUCCAGCUGUAUUUGGGGCUUCCUGGAGAAGGGACAGGGUCUACAAAAUGUUAAGCACAUUUAGGUACCAUUGCAAACAAAACAAGAAGAAUUAUAUGUGACAUAUCCACCAUGCAGGCAUCAUAUACUGAGAACUGAAAACAGUCAUUUACCAAAAAAAAAGUCAAAUGGAUUUAAAAUUUAUGAGGCUUAAAAUUCCCGUUUUCUGAAGGUCCAUACAAACUGACUUUCAAGAACACAUAAUUUUUUCACUAGUUCCACCUGAUAAAAGUGCUGAUGAACUGGUUUUGAUCAUGACUUAAUCAGAAACAAAAUUUUUAAAAAAAGUUGAGAUAAACCAAACACAAAUUAAAAUAGUCCUUUCUAAAAGGAUGAUGAUACAUAUUUGUUCAUUAGCAAAUUGGGAGCUAUGCCUUGUUUGUCACUGAGGACUUGAGACUUGAAUUUACUGGAGAGUUGCUGUGAAAAGAAUGCUGAUACUUAAAAUACACAUAAUUAUUUUACCUCAGUAACUACUUGUACAAGAGACUUUCAGUAGUAGUUCCUUUAGAGUUGCUUAUAUUUACAUAUAUAUGCAAGAACAUGAAUAAUAUUCCAUUAUCCUCAACUCUGUGUGUAAAUUAGUGCUGUCAACUCUGCUUGCCAAGAAUAUACAACCAUUAUGCCAUACACCCUACCUAUAACUGUGAAACCCUAUUUACAUUAGGGGUGAUGAGGAAUUUGUUAGGACAGCAGAUCAAGAACAGUUGUAACAGUGUUGUACUAAAUGAGGGAUCUCCUUUUAGCAGGAACAUUCCUCAGACACCUUGUCUGUCUCCUGUAAGAACAUGAACAGAGGCAGAAGAGAUGUUGGAACCCUAUAUAUCAAAAGAUAAGUUUAAAAUAUUCCCAGGAGGGAUCAGUGUGUAACAAAGGAGACUUUCUCAGCACAGGAAAUGGCAUGGAAAGACAAUGGUUUUCCUUUUUUUCCACUUACUAUGGUAAGUAGGUUUUUUUUAAAAAAAAAAAUUUGUUUCAAUCAUUUUAUAUUCAAGAGUCUUCCUAGGGAAAAACUUAAAAAUUUUUCAACAGAGUUUUGUACACCAAAGAAAUUCUACUUUUUAAUUCCAGUUCACCCCGUCAGGUCUCUUAACAGCUCUUUGUGGCAUUGUUCUUCCAUUUUUAUUAUUGUUCUUUGAAGACAGAAAUACUGAGUAAUUAUGUGUGGGACUUUUAUAAACGGAGGCAAGACUCCCAUAAAAAUCCUGACACGAGCAACUGAGCUAAACAGAAUGUUCUACACUGGAGUUGUGGUGUGAGGGAGACAGGGCAAAGCUGCCAUAACUCCUCCAGGCUUCUAGCCAGACUAUGCCUCAGUGCAGCCUUAAUACAAAACACCUCUUCAUCUCUGGGUGUGUAUGGACUGUGCAGUUCUGAGCCUUUAUUGCAGCACCCAUUGCAUGACUCUGGACGUUACUGAUACAAAGCUGUGUACGUUGGGCUGUGGUGGGUCGAUCUUGGCUGGCCAUCAGGUGCCCACUAAAUUGCUCUAGCACUCUCCUCCUCAGCAGGAUGGGGUGGGAGAAAAUACGAUGGAAAACACUCAUGCAUCAAGAUAAAGGCAGCUGAAUAAAGCAAUGACUGUGUAUAGAAGCCAAGGAAAACAGAUUUACUCUCUAUUUCCCAUCAGCAGGCAAUGUCCAGCCACUUCCCGGGAAGCAGGGCUUCAGUACACAUAGCAGUUGCUCUGGAAGACAAA